CACGUAGGAGGCAAACGUUAUCCGGAUUUACUGGGCGUAAAGCGCGUGUAGGUGGUUCUGUAAGUAGGGCGUGAAAGCUCCCGGCUCAACUGGGAGAGGCCGUUCUAAACUGCAGAGCUAGAGGAUGGUAGAGGGAGGUGGAAUUCCAGGUGUAGCGGUGGAAUGCGCAGAUAUCUGGAGGAACACCAGUGGCGAAGGCGGCCUCCUGGACCAUUCCAGACACUCAGACGCGAAAGCUAGGGUAGCAAACGGGAUUAGAUACCCCGGUAGUCCCU
rnacentral:rRNA from 1 species